rnacentral:rRNA from 1 species
AUGAGUCCACUAUACCUUUCUAUAUGCGGUAUCUACCUGCCGUUCCAAGUAAAUGUGUAUGUGCCAACCUCCAAACCUUCAAAUGAAAUUUUGUUUUGUAAGCUCGAGCAGCUCAUGUUUCAACUAGGGCUCCCUAUAUCUUCCAUGCUAGGUGGGUUAUUCUCAAGAGGAGUGGACUCCGCUCCUCAUUCACGAGAAAGGGACGGUAACCGGGAUGCCCAGUCCCAUGAUCCAAAAAGAUCAAAGCAAAUUAAUAUAAUUAAACAAAACUCCCCCAGGGCUGUUGUUAGUUGGAGGCACUCGUUGUUUGGAGCAAGCCAUGGAUUGAUGCUUGUUGGUGGUGGGGAAGUAUAA